AGAGUUUGAUCCUGGCUCAGAUUGAACGCUGGCGGCAUGCCUUACACAUGCAAGUCGAACGGCAGCACGGGGGCAACCCUGGUGGCGAGUGGCGAACGGGUGAGUAACAUAUCGGAACGUGCCCUGGAGUGGGGGAUAACUAGUCGAAAGAUUAGCUAAUACCGCAUACGAUCUACGGAUGAAAGUGGGGGAUCGCAAGACCUCAUGCUCGUGGAGCGGCCGAUAUCUGAUUAGCUAGUUGGUGGGGUAAAGGCCUACCAAGGCAUCGAUCAGUAGCUGGUCUGAGAGGACGACCAGCCACACUGGGACUGAGACACGGCCCAGACUCCUACGGGAGGCAGCAGUGGGGAAUUUUGGACAAUGGGCGCAAGCCUGAUCCAGCAAUGCCGCGUGAGUGAAGAAGGCCUUCGGGUUGUAAAGCUCUUUUGUCAGGGAAGAAACGGUGAGGGCUAAUAUCCCUGCUAAUGACGG
rnacentral:rRNA from 1 species